AGGAAUCUCAGCCCUUCCGAAAGGCAGCUCUCUGCAGCAGGAUAAGGAAAUAACUCUGCAGAGCGUGCUAUUGAAUCAUCGGCACCCCGAGCAGCGUCAAGACCUUCGGAGCACUUUGUGAGUGAGAAUUUCCUCUGCCAGGAACACAGCGCUCAUACACAGCAGGAUCUCAGCCUCUCGCUGCCACAGCCUGGCCUGACGCCUGCUUUCAGCUCACUGGAAUGAGUACAAAUGGGCUCUCCCAGCCCCCUGGUCAUUUAUGCUCCUGCUGAGAGGUCUGCGCUCCCCUAUUUCCUCACCCAGGGAUUGCUAAUGGGGUGAAACCCUCCCCUGUGCAGGGGGCCAGCAGGAGGCCGAGCUACCCCUAGAGUGCCACAUUAGUCAUUUCUGCCACUGCAUCUCACUGAAGCCAUCGCACCACCUAUGGACUACUUACAAGAGGGUCCCUGGAUGCUGAAUGAAUAAGGAAUGGAUGCAUCGCCUCACAAGAACUGUGAUUAGCAUCCAAGAGGCAGAUUGGAACUCAGGGACCCCAUGCAAUAAAAGCCAGUCACAAGACGGAGUUGCAGAUGCUGGGAAUUUUGAAAUCAUUGGCUUUGGUUCCAACUGGGAAAGAAGCCAAAUUUGAAAAACUCUAAAUCCUUUGGGAAAUGGAACGUCCAUCUCCUGCACAGCCCUGGGAGAUAAAACCUCCUGCUUCCAGGUAGAAACCUACCCCUAACUAUUAGGGGUUAGAAUAAGAACUUCAUGGGGCAGAUUAUCCCACCUCUGCCUGCUGUGAGUCUGAUCCUGUCUGGCAAUUGAAAAAGAAAGAUAAUACCAGCUCCAUGUGAGAGGCUCAAGAUGUGGAGCAGCUGGAAAAUGACCUUCCAUUUGCAGCUCUUCAGCUUAGAUGAGGGAAAAAUUCUUGGCUUCCUAAUUCUGCCUUCAAGGGACUCCCAUCCUAGAGCUUCAUACUCAUGGCCUGACCAUGCCAGCCUCUUUUAGAAAUAUAUGCUUUUCUCCUAGCCUCCAUUGCAUGGACCGUAGGCCAGGACUACGCCCCACAUACUUCUGCCUUCGAGAUCUACUGGUCUUGGGUCUGACUCUCUGGGACCAGCAUGUUUUCUCUUCAAAUAAAAUUGAUUUUGAACACUUGGAUGGUGCAUAGCACAGAUACUGCACUCAUGGGGGCCCAGUGUACCUAUCCAUUGGGGGAAACAAGUCACAUAUACCUGGUUGCUAGGAGUUGGAGCCGGAAGCCUGGGUUACAAGUGACUUGGCUGUGAGGAGUUGGCCCUGGCUGCACGUUACCUGGACAUUAGUGACAUUUAUCAACUUAUUAGGAGCAGACAGCGCAUCAUAAAAGUCUCCAAAAUAAACACUUUUUUAUUUUUAUUUUAUUUUAUUUUUUUGCAAGUUAAGCUUUUUUGCUCUAACCAGGAACAGAUGUCUGAAUCGGCUCAUGAAUUGGAAACAUCUGAAACAACUUUCCAAGCUGAAGUAUAAUAAAUAUACCUUUCAUCACAACCCCUCCACGAGGGUUUUUAAAGGCACUGUGUUCGGUGGGCCUGUGCUCUGGAGCAGCAUUAUGACAAAUGAACCCAAUUACAGUCCUGGGUCGACCACUGUUCGAGUUACUUUCCCAGCACUGCAGGUAUCACCUUUACAGCCUGGACUGGGGCCUUGGCCUCCUGCCAUCCUUCCCCAGAUUUCUGCUCUUUAGCCUGAUGAUGCCAGCCUCUGCUCUGGGGGAAGUGAGGUAGAAAAAGCGAAGCUUCUCCUUCGGGAGAAGGAGUGUGUUGGGAGAUGCAUCUGAGUGCCCGGUGCAGCCGGAUUCUCCUCUUGCUGCGCCCGGUGCUGCCCUGGAGUCUGGGGUGUCAGUCUUAUGUGAGAGCAGCAUGGGAAUCAAGCCCUAGAUGUUUCAAUGGGUGAUACCUUCCAGGUUGUGUGGGCUCAAUAGCAAGGAGGAGCCACUGGGCUGAUAAGGCUGGAUGAGGCACUAUCUGACUCUGAUUUCCCUCUACCACCUGUUGUAGAGACUUGUGGUACUGGGGCCAGUCAUACGCUAAAGAAUUACACUUUGUAAUGUAUAUGUCAUGUCUGUAUCCUCUGGCUUUCACAGCUGCAUACCAAGGAGAAUGGACAGGAAAGCUCAGAGUUUGGGACCCUUCAGUCCCAAGAACAGGGUCAGAUCCUGAUGUCUCAGUGGAAACUGAUGAUGCUCAUUCCCUUCUGGGAGGCACUCAGCCCUUCCCAGGACUGCAUCCCACCCGGGACACAGCAGAAGCAUUGCAGGGCAGCACAUUCGUUGCUGAUUGUGGAUGUUCUGUUUCUGAUUUUGGCAGCAUUCACUUCUGGACGGGAGAGAAACAGUCAACAAAGCAUCAUAGUGGGUUAGUGCGAGAAACAUCUCAAAGCCAGGGGGGACUUUCUGGCAAAGUUAAAAUGGCCACGAUUCUUGCUGUUGAUCUCACAGCCUGGCUAGCUGAGACUCUUUCAGCAGGAAUCGCCAGCAGGAGUUCAUUUUUCCAUGUCCUCACUUGGUUUAUUCCACUUAGCAAAGUCAGAUUCUGUUAGUUUCUUUUAAAUCACAUUUAUUUUGCUUUGGGAAAAUGAAAACCAACUUUUCCCCUCAAAAUUAAUGUGGCUUGUACAGGAUUUGAGGGUCAACUUUUCAAGCAGGAAUGAAGUUGUCCAUCCGUAAUGUGUACAAGUACUGGCAGGUAGCAGCAUUUGUCCACAGGAACUGGGUAUUAGGACACGCACAUGUGCUCAGUCAGCAAAACUGGUACAGGUGCUUGCAAAGGGAGCCUAGCUGGUGUGCACUGAGGGUGAAAUUCACCCCUGGGCAGAAUUUAUGGACCACUUCAGAGCCACUAAAAUCCUCCCAACAGAGUUCUGUUGGACUUGGCUUUCACUGGCAACUUGUGUGAAGCUUUGGCCCUUAAAGUGACAGCACAGAAUCACACAAUCAUAGCACUGUAAGGACUGGAAGGGACUUCAGUAGGUAUCUAUGCCCCUGCCUGAGUUGGGCUGUGAAUCCCUCUUGUUGCUGUCACUUCCAUACACACUCCUCCCAAGCCCCUUCAUUUCCCUUCUUUCCCAGUUUUCUGUAAAGACCUUCCCCCACCCACCCCCGGCCCCGCCCUCCAGCACUGAAGCCCAGGUAC